rnacentral:rRNA from 1 species
CCUACGGGCUGCUGCAGUGAGGAAUAUUGGUCAAUGGGCGCGAGCCUGAACCAGCCAAGUAGCGUGAAGGAUGACUGCCCUACGGGUUGUAAACUUCUUUUAUAAAGGAAUAAAGUGAGGCACGUGUGCCUCUUUGUAUGUACUUUAUGAAUAAGGAUCGGCUAACUCCGUUCCAGCAGCCGCGGUAAUACGGAGGAUCCGAGCGUUAUCCGGAUUUAUUGGGUUGAAAGGGAGCGUAGAUGGGUUGUUAAGUCAGUUGUGAAAGUUUGUGGAUCAACCGUAAAAUUGCAAUUGAUACUGGCAGUCUUGAGUACAGUUGAGGUAGGCGGAAUUCGUGGUGUAGCGGUGAAAUGCUUAGAUAUCACGAAGAACUCCGAUGGCGAAGGCAGCUUACUAAACUGUCACUGACAUUGAUGCUCGAAAGUGUGGGUAUCAAACAGGAUUAGAUACCCCUGUAGUC